rnacentral:rRNA from 1 species
GACGAACGCUGGCGGCGUGCUUAACACAUGCAAGUCGAACGGAAAGGCCCUGCUUUUGUGGGGUGCUCGAGUGGCGAACGGGUGAGUAACAAGUGAGUAACCUGCCCUUGACUUUGGGAUAACUUCAGGAAACUGGGGCUAAUACCGGAUAGGAGCUCCUGCUGCAUGGUGGGGGUUGGAAAGUUUCGGCGGUUGGGGAUGGACUCGCGGCUUAUCAGCUUGUUGAUGGGGUAGUGGCUUACCAAGGCUUUGACGGGUAGCCGGCCUGAGAGGGUGACCGGCCACAUUGGGACUGAGAUACGGCCCAGACUCCUACGGGAGGCAGCAGUGGGGAAUAUUGCACAAUGGGCGGAAGCCUGAUGCAGCAACGCCGCGUGCGGGAUGACGGCCUUCGGGUUGUAAACCGCUUUCGCCUGUGACGAAGCGUGAGUGACGGUAAUGGGUAAAGAAGCACCGGCUAACUACGUG